UCGGAUAUGGUGUAAUGGCUAACAUUGCCGCCUCUCACCGUGAGGGAUACGUUCAAAACGCGGCAGCUCGGGGUUCGAUUCCCCGUAUCCGAG
rnacentral:tRNA from 1 species